rnacentral:snRNA from 1 species
AGCUUUGCGCAGUGGCAGUAUCAUAGCCAAUGAGGUUUAUCCGAGGCGCGAUUAUUGCUAAUUGAAAAUAUAAUAUGAUAUAUUUUAUUUAUAUAUACAAAUAUAUGAUAUAUAAAUAAAUAU